AACUUUUUACCUUAAGAGGGAUAAUGAACUUCCACACCCGAGAAUACCACACCUUAUGGGGUCCCUGUUGAUGCUAAUUUUGUAGAGCUUCUAUUGCCUGCUUUACCAAGAAGAUCCCGUGUGUAUUCAACUCCCAUAUAAGCUGGUCUUUUCUGUCUCUAUCUAAGAACACAUUUUCUAGGAUAAGCUUUAGCUCCCUGAAGGAAUAUUUAAUUUUUCUCCCAUUCGAAUAGUUGCCUUGCAAAUUCAAGGCUCCAUUCACUUCCCUCCCUCCACACUUCUGCCACCUUGAUGUUUUUGUUCGUGGACAACUGAAACAUCCUUGGAAACAGGUCUUUUAGAAGCAUACCCGAGACCUAUUUGUCUUUCCAAAACGAAAAUUUCCCAACCCCCUCAAUCUCUAAAAGGCAUACAAUGUUUCUCCAUGCACUUAACAUUUUUCUUUUGUGGUGAUUUGAGGGGGUACAAAGCGAAGCACCCUCACCAUAAUAAUUUCUCACACAAGAGUCGUCUCCACAAGGCAUCUUGAUUGCAUUCAUACCUCAAGCACCACCAUUUACCAAGUUUGAAAUCCCAAAUCCACCUUUAAAUUUGGAUUGGCACACUAAAUUCAAUUUCACCUAUAUCAUUUUUCUUUUAUCUUUGAUUCUUCUGAUAUUUGGACAUUGUUAAUAUUUUUUAAUUUUUUAUAUUAUAAUUUUAAUUAUAUUUAAUAUUAUUAUUAUUUAAAAA
rnacentral:lncRNA from 1 species